rnacentral:rRNA from 1 species
GUACAAAGGUAGCAUAAUCAAUUGUUCUUUAAUUGUGGACUUGUAUGAAAGAAUUGAUGAAAUUUAUUCUUUCUAAAAUUUAUAAAUUGAAUUUUUUAAUUAAGUAAAAAGACUUAAAUAAUUUUAUGGGACGAGAAGACCCUGUAGAAUUUAAUAUAAUUUUUUUAUAAAUUAGUAUAAUUAUUAUAUUUAAUUGGGGGGAUUAUUAAAUUUAUUAAACUUUAAUAUAAAAAAAACUUUGAUUAAAGAAAAUAUUUUUUAAUAAUGAAUAAUUUUAAUUAUUUAAGAAUUAAUUACCUUAGGGAUAACAGCAUAAUAAUUUUUUUUAGAUCUUAUAUAAAAAAUUGUUUAUGACCUCGAUGUUGAAUUAAGAUAAAGUUUAAAGGUAGAUUUUUAAAUUUAUGGU